rnacentral:rRNA from 1 species
GACGAACGCUGGCGGCGUGCCUAAUACAUGCAAGUAGAACGCUGAAGGAGGAGCUUGCUCUUCUGGAUGAGUUGCGAACGGGUGAGUAACGCGUAGGUAACCUGCCUGGUAGCGGGGGAUAACUAUUGGAAACGAUAGCUAAUACCGCAUAAGAGUAGAUGUUGCAUGACAUUUACUUAAAAGGUGCAAUUGCAUCACUACCAGAUGGACCUGCGUUGUAUUAGCUAGUUGGUGGGGUAACGGCUUACCAAGGCGACGAUACAUAGCCGACCUGAGAGGGUGGUCGGCCACACUGGGACUGAGACACGGCCCAGACUCCUACGGGAGGCAGCAGUAGGGAAUCUUCGGCAAUGGACGGAAGUCUGACCGAGCAACGCCGCGUGAGUGAAGAAGGUUUUCGGAUCGUAAAGCUCUGUUGUAAGAGAAGAACGAGUGUGAGAGUGGAAAGUUCACACUGUGACGGUAUCUUACCAGAAAGGGACGGCUAACUACGUG